GGUAAUAUAAAUGAAAAUUUAAGGGUUACUUUAAGUUAUAUUUUAAGUUUUAGUGGUGAGUAAUUUAGUUGCAAAUUUAGGGGGGGUUUAAAUUAUUUUUAUAAUGAAGCGGGUAAUUUCGAUGAAGAUUAGGUGGUUACUUUAUUUUAUUUAAUACAACAACAUAGGUGGGUAAUUUAGAUAUAGAUUUAUGGGUUACUUUAGGCUAUUUUCAUAAUGACAUAGGUGGGUAAUUUUUUAGAAUAGAUAAUAGAUCCAAUGGCUACGAUGAUUUGAGUCUACCAAUAAAUGACCAGAUGUUUUGCUUUUUGGUGAGAAUUUCUAGGAUUUCUCUCUUCUUAUAGAGUGUCCACCUAGGAUCCUUGGUGGCUUCACCUGGAGACUUUAAAAGGAGCCUCCAAUCCUCCAAUUAGUAAUAGUAAGAUAUAAAUGCGUGGGGACUAUACUUUUAUAACCGUUGAGUAUGAAUUCCCAUAUGUCACAUAUGUCGCUGCAAUUGUAGGUCUUUCAAUAUCCCUUGAUAACUAUUUUUCUCUAGGUCUAUCUACUCGGCUCACUUUUUCUUGUUUUUUCAGCUAGCGUUGGGAUGACAAUGGAGCGAGGGCCUGGUCCUACCAAAGAUCAUGCUCGUGUGCUAGUAGAUUUUGAUGAGACCACUUUAUGUCCUCAUCCUUCUCCCAAAUAAGAAUCAGUUGCCUUUAUCAAAAAAAGAAGAAAGAAAAAUCAUUUGCAUGUUUAAGGGAGCUCUCGUGUUCGUAGCCUUUCGCACGUCUGCCUGUUCUUCAAGUUUUAGAGCAAUCCUAUGAGAGAGGCAGAAACUUAGUUGCACUAUUUUUUUCACACCUUAUGAUUUCUGUUUUAGAGAAAUUUAAUGAUAGGGACAAAAAAUGGUAGUUAGGGGCGGAUCCAGCUCCAUAAAAUAGGGGGGCUCAGCUACCCUUUCUUCUUCCUCCCUUCUCUCUUUCCCUUCUUCUUCAUCAUUUUCUUUUUCUCCUCUUCAUCUAUGGCUAGGGGGCUUUGAGGGGGGUGUUGACGCUAGUUAUUGACAUACUUUUAGUGCCAUUUAACUAGUGUUUUCAUUCAUAUUCUUAUACUAACCCGUCACUUGGCACUUGAAAUAACUCCAUUUUCGCAUACGCAAGAUAUUUUUGAGGAUAUUCUGUUUUCGCAAGAAAUUGGCCUAAAUACACAUGAUGGUGAUGUCAAUCUAAUAUUGUAUUUACUUUGAUCUACUAUGAUGCAUACUUAUUCUCAUAUGUUCAGCUGGCAUAUGUUCUUAGUAGGAAUAGAUGGAAUCACCAUAGAUGUAAUCUUGGUGAUUAGUCUAUGUCUUGCGGAUACAUCUUAGUAGUGCGUAGGAAGUCGGUG
rnacentral:lncRNA from 1 species